rnacentral:rRNA from 1 species
AGAGUUCGAUUAUGGCUCAGGAUGAACGCUGGCGGCGUGCUUAACACAUGCAAGUCGAGCGAAGCAGUUAAGUUGAUUUCUUCGGAUUGAUUCUUAAUUGACUGAGCGGCGGACGGGUGAGUAACGCGUGGGUGACCUGCCCCAUACCGGGGGAUAACAGCUGGAAACGGCUGCUAAUACCGCAUAAGCGCACAGAGCUGCAUGGCUCGGUGUGAAAAACUCCGGUGGUAUGGGAUGGGCCCGCGUCUGAUUAGGCAGUUGGCGGGGUAACGGCCCACCAAACCGACGAUCAGUAGCCGGCCUGAGAGGGCGACCGGCCACAUUGGGACUGAGACACGGCCCAA